rnacentral:rRNA from 1 species
AGAGUUUGAUCCUGGCUCAGAACGAACGCUGGCGGCGUGCCUAACACAUGCAAGUCGAACGUGAUCCGCCCUUCGGGGUGGUGAAAGUGGCGCACGGGUGAGUAACGCGUGGAUAAUCUGCCCGAGGAUUUGGGAUAACAUCUCGAAAGGGGUGCUAAUACCGAAUAAGCCCACGGGGUCUACGGAUCUUGCGGGAAAAGGGGGGGACCUUCGGGCCUCCUGUCCUUGGAUGAGUCUGCGUACCAUUAGCUAGUUGGUGGGGUAAUGGCCUACCAAGGCGACGAUGGUUAGCUGGUCUGAGAGGAUGAUCAGCCACACUGGAACUGAGACACGGUCCAGACUCCUACGGGAGGCAGCAGUGGGGAAUUUUGCGCAAUGGGGGAAACCCUGACGCAGCAACGCCGCGUGAGUGAUGAAGGCUUUCGGGUCGUAAAGCUCUGUCAAGGGGAAAGAAGUGUAUUGUGGUUAAUACCCGCGAUACUUGACGGUACCCCUAAAGGAAGCACCGGCUAACUCCGUGCCAGCAGCCGCGGUAAUACGGAGGGUGCGAGCGUUGUUCGGAAUUAUUGGGCGUAAAGCGCGUGUAGGCGGUUUGUUAAGUCUGAUGUGAAAGCCCCGGGCUCAACCUGGGAAGUGCAUUGGAUACUGGCAGACUUGAAUACGGGAGAGGGCAGUGGAAUUCCUGGUGUAGGAGUGAAAUCCGUAGAUAUCAGGAGGAACACCGGUGGCGAAGGCGGCUGCCUGGACCGAUAUUGACGCUGAGACGCGAAAGCGUGGGUAGCAAACAGGAUUAGAUACC